GGCUCAGAACGAACGCUGGCGGCACGCCUAACACAUGCAAGUCGAGCGCGAAAGGCCUUCGGGUUGAGUAGAGCGGCGGACGGGUGAGUAACGCGUAGGAAUCUACCUGGUAGUGGGGGAUAACUUGGGGAAACCCAAGCUAAUACCGCAUACGCCCUAAGGGGGAAAGCGGGGGAUCUUCGGACCUCGCGCUAUCGGAUGAGCCUGCGUAGGAUUAGCUUGUUGGUGAGGUAAAGGCUCACC
rnacentral:rRNA from 14 species